CCCAAUAUACUGUGUUUCCCAAUAAAAUUUACCUGAGGAUCAGAGGAAAAAGCCACCCACUAUAUUAGCAUAGACGUCAGGCAAUGGUAGCUCACACCUUUAAUCCUUUCACUUGGGAGGCAG